rnacentral:misc_RNA from 1 species
AGGUAUAUUAGGGGGAGGGGGUUGCUCCGAGAGGACCCUCCACGGUGGGAUGGGAUAAUCAAGGUAUGGAUGUUCUGACCCUAGGCACGGGUCCCCCUCGUGUCACAGCCUCGGUUGAGGUUGUACGUUAUGUCCGAAACGUCAGGGUAGCAGAGGCAACCGGACUUGGGUUACAGUUGGUAAGAAAAGGUACCAGAUUUGUGGGACGAAUAAUGCAAACGGACUAAACCUGGCCUCGGGUUUGAGCGAGGCUGGGUGGACCGGUAAGGGAAACCUCAAACACUAGUGGGCUGUCCGAUAACGGGAAAGGUCUGUGAGCAGAAUUCGAUCUCAUAUUUCUGGUACCCGUCCAGGUUGUGGUCGGGCUAAGAGAAGGUGGCAGAUUUGGAUGCUAUUGACACGGGCCCCCUCGUGUCAUGGCUUCCCGAUGUUCUGUGCGAAACGUAUACCGGGUUGCAGCGGUAUACGAAAAGUUGCCUUGAGGUCAUGACAAUGGCCUCCCGCCCCUGAAAAAGGGGCUCGGGAAUGACCCGGUGUUAUGACCCGAACGUAAUAGCUCCCGAGGCUGCAAGACCGGGUUAGGGCCCUGAACGGAAGGGUGCUAGAUUUGCCGGGAUGAAUGAUGGAAACGGACUUAUCCCGGCCUCGGGUUUGAGCGAGGCUUGGGUAGACCGGUAAGGGAAAACUCAAACACGAGUGGGCUGUCCGAUA